rnacentral:rRNA from 1 species
UACAGAGGUCCCAAGCGUUGUUCGGAUUCACUGGGCGUAAAGGGUGCGUAGGCGGUUGGGUAAGUCUGUCGUGAAAUCUCCGAGCCUAACUCGGAAACUGCGUCGGAUACUAUUCAACUUGAGGAAUGGAGGGGAGACUGGAAUUCUCGGUGUAGCAGUGAAAUGCGUAGAUAUCGAGAGGAACACCAGUGGCGAAGGCGAGUCUCUGGACAUUUCCUGACGCUGAGGCACGAAAGCCAGGGGAGCAAACGGG